rnacentral:rRNA from 1 species
ACUCAAAGGAAUUGACGGGGGCCCGCACAAGCAGCGGAGCAUGUGGUUUAAUUCGACGCAACGCGAAGAACCUUACCUGGGCUUGACAUGGGAGUGACCGGUGUGGAAACACACCUUCCCUUCGGGGCACUUUCACAGGUGGUGCAUGGCUGUCGUCAGCUCGUGUCGUGAGAUGUUGGGUUAAGUCCCGCAACGAGCGCAACCCCCGUCCUAUGUUGCCAGCAUUCAGUUGGGGACUCAUGGGAGACUGCCGGUGACAAACCGGAGGAAGGUGGGGAUGACGUCAAGUCAUCAUGCCCCUUAUGUCCAGGGCUACACACGUGCUACAUUGGCGCGUACAGAGGGUUGCGAUACCGCGAGGUGGAGCGAAUCCCUCAAAGCGCGUCUUGGUUCGGAUUGUAGGCUGAAACUCGCCUGCAUGAAGUCGGAGUUGCUAGUAAUCGCGGAUCAGCAAUGCCGCGGUGAAUACGUUCCCGGGCCUUGCACACACCGCCCGU